ensembl:lncRNA
GGCCUUCAGAGUUACAGCCUGGCUCUACCUCCCAUUGGCUUUCUGCUUCCUGAUCCACCUGCAUGUGAGCAGGCUGCUGCUGCCAGGGCCUGGAUCUGUACCAGCUACCGUGCCUUCCCCACCGUGAUGGGCUGUGUCUCUUUAACCUAAACCAAAAUAAAUCCUUCCUCCCUAAGCCGCUUCCUAUUACAACAGUAGGAAAAGUGACUAAUACAAUUGGCAUGGCCGUAAGUUAUAAAAUGUCUGCCUCUCUCUUCCAGCUCACCUGAGACAUCACAGGGCCCACUCGGUAAUUCCCAGACACACCACGGCACAGCCUGAGAGGGAGGGGCAAGUGGAGAUACCACUAUGAAGCCAACCAGGAAUGACAGAGCUCAGCCUGGGCAAGUCCUUGUGGUCUCAGAGAAGCCCAGGGAAGCCUCGGCCACUGUGGCAGGACCUUGAAGCAAUGAGAGUGAUGCAGGGGAGCCUGCCUGUGCCCAGCCUCUUUCUGGUCCAGCUUCAAGGAUGCUUUGCCGACUCUUGAGGUUGGAGGAUAGCUUUCAAGGAGAAGAAAGGCUUUCCAGAAAACGUUGGGGAUGUUUUUUUAAUUGCUUUUAAAGAUUUGGCUCUCCUUGGAUUUUUUUCCUCCUACUUAUUAUUUUAAGAACUGUUCACAUAAGCUCUGUCCUCUUAACGGAAGAGCUUUCCUCUUACCAAAAGAAACAGUUGUUUUCUCUCAUUCUUGGUUUCAUGGUGCUGCCCACAGCCACCACCAAGCCACACCCCAAUACUGUACACUACAGUACUGCUAACUAUAGGUCUGAUUUUUAAGCAGCGUGUCUCUAGACCUCAGUCUCUGUGUAACGGAAACUUCAUCCCUACCAACUACAGAGUCUCAUCCCCCUCCCAUCAUCUGAGCUUUCAGACGCAACUUUGAAAUCCUAAUCUAUGAAUAGAUGCAGCCAACUUUAACCAUCUUAAGGGGAACUUUGAUUAAUGUUUGUACCAUUUAGUUACUUAGUUAAUUAAACUCCUUUAAACAUUUUAAGCUGCAAUCAAAAUUUAUUAUAUUCCAUUUUCUAAGUUUUUCAAUUAUCUGACUAACGAAUCUUCCCUGGUCUUUACCUGAUUCUGAUAAUUCAGAUACAUUAAAUGUACAAUUACAGUGAUUUUUAAAUAUUCAAGAGCUGUUUACCGACUUAGUGAGAUUUCAACUUGCAAUCACAGAUCGAAAUCAAUGACUCAAGGGCUUAUUCAGAACCGAAGUAUGAGUGUGGUUUAAACUCUCAGAUACACCAAGCUCCCUGGGUCUCUAAAAGUUCUCCAAAUUACCAGAGACCUGCACUGCCAAACUUGGCAUAAAAACAGACACUGUUGUUUUUUAUCUGUUGUACUGUUCUAUGUUCAAUUUUAAAUUUCCCUGUGAUUAAAAUCAUACCCAAUACACCUGAGACCUCUUUGUUUUUAGUUUUAAAAGAUUUCUUAAAAUAUGUGUGUAUG